CAAUAAUGUAUAGCAACUUGCUAUGACUCGAAUAUUUUCUGUAUCCCUAAUUAUAAGAACCACAAAGACCCUGAGAAGCAAAGGCAUUCACUCAAGGUUCCAGCAGAAAACAUGUAUUACAACUUUUGGGGUUAGGGGGUGUCAUCCCUUUCUAGACCAUCAACAAUUUGGUUUAGACCACCAGUCCAGUUCCCCUGACCCCAUGGUUUUCCAGUCAGGGUUUCUCUGCAUAUCCCUGACUGUCCUGGAACUUGCUCAGUUGACUAGAGCAGCCUCGAACUCACGGAGAUACACCUCUCUCAGCCUGCCUCGCACUAGGAUUAGUGUGCACCACCACUUCGCAGCACCGUCCACCUCUUACCUACUGGCUACCUCAUGCUCUGAUCUGCUCAGUAGCUCCCUAGUCCAACGAUGCCUACAUUCCUUCUCCUGGCUUCUUGUCAGCACCAUAUCCUGUGUCAAUUCUGGCCCAGCUGCUGACUUAUCACUUAACUUCAGCUUAAACUUUUCACCAGAAACACUCCCAAUCCCUAUACUUUAAACUCAAAUGAGUUUACACA
rnacentral:lncRNA from 1 species